UACGUAGGUGGCAAGCGUUGUCCGGAAUUAUUGGGCGUAAAGGGCGCGUAGGCGGCGUCUUAAGUCAGAUGUGAAAACCCGAGGCUCAACUUCGGGAAUGCAUUUGAAACUGGGAUGCUAGAGUGCAGGAGAGGAAAGUGGAAUUCCUAGUGUAGCGGUGAAAUGCGUAGAGAUUAGGAGGAACACCAGUGGCGAAGGCGACUUUCUGGACUGUAACUGACGCUGAGGCGCGAAAGCGUGGGGAGCAAACAGG
rnacentral:rRNA from 1 species